GGUACAGGGUGAUAGUCCCGUACACCAAAAUGCACAGGCUGUGAACUCGAAGAGUAGGGCGGGACACGUGGUAUCCUGUCUGAAUAUGGGGGGACCAUCCUCCAAGGCUAAAUACUCCUGACUGACCGAUAGUGAACCAGUACCGUGAGGGAAAGGCGAAAAGAACCCCGGCGAGGGGAGUGAAAAAGAACCUGAAACCGUGUACGUACAAGCAGUGGGAGCACCUUCGGGUGUGACUGCGUACCUUUUGUAUAAUGGGUCAGCGACUUAUAUUCUGUAGCAAGGUUAACCGUAUAGGGGAGCCGCAGGGAAACCGAGUCUUAACUGGGCGUUAAGUUGCAGGGUAUAGACCCGAAACCCGGUGAUCUAGCCAUGGGCAGGUUGAAGGUUGGGUAACACUAACUGGAGGACCGAACCGACUAAUGUUGAAAAAUUAGCGGAUGACUUGUGGCUGGGGGUGAAAGGCCAAUCAAACCGGGAGAUAGCUGGUUCUCCCCGAAAGCUAUUUAGGUAGCGCCUCGUGAACUCAUCUUCGGGGGUAGAGCACUGUUUCGGCUAGGGGGUCAUCCCGACUUACCAACCCGAUGCAAACUACGAAUACCGAAGAAUGUUAUCACGGGAGACACACGGCGGGUGCUAACGUCCGUCGUGAAGAGGGAAACAACCCAGACCGCCAGCUAAGGUCCCAAAGUCAUGGUUAAGUGGGAAACGAUGUGGGAAGGCACAGACAGCCAGGAUGUUGGCUUAGAAGCAGCCAUCAUUUAAAGAAAGCGUAAUAGCUCACUGGUCGAGUCGGCCUGCGCGGAAGAUGUAACGGGGCUAAACCAUGCACCGAAGCUGCGGCAGCGACACUAUGUGUUGUUGGGUAGGGGAGCGUUCUGUAAGCCUGCGAAGGUGUGCUGUGAGGCAUGCUGGAGGUAUCAGAAGUGCGAAUGCUGACAUAAGUAACGAUAAAGCGGGUGAAAAGCCCGCUCGCCGGAAGACCAAGGGUUCCUGUCCAACGUUAAUCGGGGCAGGGUGAGUCGACCCCUAAGGCGAGGCCGAAAGGCGUAGUCGAUGGGAAACAGGUUAAUAUUCCUGUACUUGGUGUUACUGCGAAGGGGGGACGGAGAAGGCUAUGUUAGCCGGGCGACGGUUGUCCCGGUUUAAGCAUGUAGGCUGGUUAUCCAGGCAAAUCCGGAUAAUCAAGGCUGAGGUGUGAUGACGAGGCACUACGGUGCUGAAGUAACAAAUGCCCUGCUUCCAGGAAAAGCCUCUAAGCAUCAGGUAACAUCAAAUCGUACCCCAAACCGACACAGGUGGUCAGGUAGAGAAUACCAAGGCGCUUGAGAGAACUCGGGUGAAGGAACUAGGCAAAAUGGUGCCGUAACUUCGGGAGAAGGCACGCUGGUGUGUAGGUGAAGUCCCUGCGGAUGGAGCUGAGACCAGUCGAAGAUACCAGCUGGCUGCAACUGUUUAUUAAAAACACAGCACUGUGCAAACACGAAAGUGGACGUAUACGGUGUGACGCCUGCCCGGUGCCGGAAGGUUAAUUGAUGGGGUUAUCCGUAAGGAGAAGCUCUUGAUCGAAGCCCCGGUAAACGGCGGCCGUAACUAUAACGGUCCUAAGGUAGCGAAAUUCCUUGUCGGGUAAGUUCCGACCUGCACGAAUGGCGUAAUGAUGGCCAGGCUGUCUCCACCCGAGACUCAGUGAAAUUGAACUCGCUGUGAAGAUGCAGUGUACCCGCGGCAAGACGGAAAGACCCCGUGAACCUUUACUAUAGCUUGACACUGAACAUUGAGCCUUGAUGUGUAGGAUAGGUGGGAGGCUUUGAAGCGUGGACGCCAGUCUGCGUGGAGCCAACCUUGAAAUACCACCCUUUAAUGUUUGAUGUUCUAACG
rnacentral:rRNA from 1 species